UACGAAGGGGGCUAGCGUUGCUCGGAAUGACUGGGCGUAAAGGGCGCGUAGGCGGAUGGCACAGUCAGAUGUGAAAUUCCUGGGCUCAACCUGGGGGCUGCAUUUGAUACGUGUGGACUAGAGUGGGGAAGAGGGUCGUGGAAUUCCCAGUGUAGAGGUGAAAUUCGUAGAUAUACGGAGGAAUACCGGUGGCGAAGGCGGCCGCCUGGACCAUUUCUGACACUGAGACGCGAAAGCGUGGGGAGCAAACAGG
rnacentral:rRNA from 1 species